rnacentral:ncRNA from 2 species
CCCGAUCCGUUGGGGUGCCGCGAGGCUGAGAGGUGCUGAUGCACCAACCCAUCGAACCUGAUCCGGAUAAUGCCGGCGAAGGGAACGGUCCUGGUUUCGUC